UACGGGGGGGGCAAGCGUUGUUCGGAAUUACUGGGCGUAAAGGGCGCGUAGGCGGUUGGAUAAGUCAGCUGUGAAAACCACGGGCCUAACUCGUGGCCUGCAGUUGAGACUGUCUGGCUUGAGUGUGGGAGAGGAGAGUGGAAUUCCUGGUGUAGCGGUGAAAUGCGUAGAUAUCUGGAGGAACACCGGUGGCGAAGGCGGCUUCCUGGACCGACACUGACGCUGAGGCGCGAAAGCUAGGGGAGCAAACGGG
rnacentral:rRNA from 1 species